UACGAAGGGGGCUAGCGUUGCUCGGAAUUACUGGGCGUAAAGCGCACGUAGGCGGAUUGUUAAGUCGGGGGUGAAAUCCUGGAGCUCAACUCCAGAACUGCCUUCGAUACUGGCGAUCUCGAGUUCGGGAGAGGUGAGUGGAACUGCGAGUGUAGAGGUGAAAUGCGUAGAUAUUCGCAAGAACACCAGUGGCGAAGGCGGCACACUGGCCCGAUACUGACGCUGAGGUGCGAAAGCGUGGGGAGCAAACAGG
rnacentral:rRNA from 1 species